rnacentral:rRNA from 1 species
GAUGAACGCUGGCGGCGUGCCUAAUACAUGCAAGUCGAGCGAACAGAUAAGGAGCUUGCUCCUUUGACGUUAGCGGCGGACGGGUGAGUAACACGUGGGUAACCUACCUAUAAGACUGGAAUAACUCCGGGAAACCGGGGCUAAUGCCGGAUAACAUUUAGAACCGCAUGGUUCUAAAGUGAAAGAUGGUUUUGCUAUCACUUAUAGAUGGACCCGCGCCGUAUUAGCUAGUUGGUAAGGUAACGGCUUACCAAAGCAACGAUACGUAGCCGACCUGAGAGGGUGAUCGGCCACACUGGAACUGAGACACGGUCCAGACUCCUACGGGAGGCAGCAGUAGGGAAUCUUCCGCAAUGGGCGAAAGCCUGACGGAGCAACGCCGCGUGAGUGAUGAAGGUCUUCGGAUCGUAAAACUCUGUUAUUAGGGAAGAACAAAUGUGUAAGUAACUGUGCACGUCUUGACGGUACCUAAUCAGAAAGCCACGGCUAACUACGUG